CCGUUCAGAAAUUGUAGAAUUAUGCAAACAGUAAUGCUUGUAUAGCUUUGCAAUUUUUACCUUCUCAUCAUUGUUUAUAUGCACUUCUGUUUCCUCGGCGGGCUCGCCCGUCGGUGGACCAGUCUUAAACGCUUAUGAUUAACCAGUAUUGUCUGAGCUAUAUGCUAAAGAAUUA
rnacentral:misc_RNA from 1 species